rnacentral:lncRNA from 1 species
GGAGAAAGCCGUAAAGGAAGACAAUAAAUAUUUAUAUAUUAAAAAUGAAAGAAUAUUUACUUUUAACUUAUUUUGACAUGUUCAACAAGUUACUUUGCAUUAGGGAUGACUACUAGUAAGAUUUGGUUACAAGAAGAAAAAAAGAAAAAACAAAAUUUUUCUGUUAGUUUAAGUUUUGAUAUUCUGUAUACAUUCAUGAAUCACUUAAUUAAAAUCAUAUCAAAUAUGUAUAUUAUACAAAUAUAGAAUAUGGAUUGAUUCUAAUCGCGAAGAGACUAAAAAUUAUGUACAUUCAUGACUUAAUAAGAACAGAAAAAAUUAAAAGUUCAUGAAUGAAAAAG